AUAAGGGGUGGGCAAGUCUGGUGUCAGCCGCCGCGGUAAUACCAGCACCCCGAGUGGUCGGGACGAUUAUUGGGCCUAAAGCAUCCGUAGCCGGUCUUGCAAGUCUUCCGUUAAAUCCAGCUGCUUAACAGAUGGGCUGCGGAAGAUACUACAAGACUAGGAGGCGGAAGAGGCAAGCGGUACUCAGUGGGUAGGGGUAAAAUCCUCUGAUCCUUUGAAGACCACCAGUGGCGAAGGCGGCUUGCCAGAACGCGCUCGACGGUGAGGGAUGAAAGCUGGGGGAGCAAACCGGAUUAGAUACCCGGGUAGUCCCAGCUGUAAACGAUGCAGACUCGGUGAUGGGCCGGCUUCAUGCCGGCUCAGUGCCGCAGGGAAGCCGUUAAGUCUGCCGCCUGGGGAGUACGGUCGCAAGACUGAAACUUAAAGGAAUUGGCGGGGGAGCACCACAAGGGGUGAAGCCUGCGGUUCAAUUGGAGUCAACGCCGGAAAUCUUACCGGGGGCGACAGCAGAGUGAAGGUCAAGCUGAAGACUUUACCAGACAAGCUGAGAGGAGGUGCAUGGCCGUCGCCAGCUCGUCCCGUGAGGUGUCCAGUUAAGUCAGGUAACGAGCGAGAUCCCUGCUUUUAGUUGCUACCGCUACUCUCAGGAGGAGUGGGGCUAAUUAAAAGGACUGCCGUCGCUAAGACGGAGGAAGGAGGGGGCUACGGCAGGUCAGUAUGCCCCGAAACCCUCGGGCCACACGCGGGCUGCAAUGGUAAGCACAAUGGGUCCCGAUUCCGAAAGGAGGAGGCAAUCCCUAAACCUUA
rnacentral:rRNA from 1 species